UUACACGGAGAGGAAAGUGCUCAGUGAUCGUCAGCGGAGCUAGCGCUAAUCGGAUCAGGCAGUUGUACUCUGGCUAUCUAACUUGCUAGCUAACAUUAGCCGGCUGAUGUUAAUAACAGUGAAUGUAAUGUUUUGUGGUCUGCUAACCCGUGACUACCGGGAUAGUAUUGGUACUGUAUGAAGUAAAUUACGUUUGGGUGACACAGGUUGAGUAUUCUGACGAUAAACAGCCUGUUUUUGACAGUUCAUGUGGGGUAAACUGAGGCUAACGUCCACAAACAGACACUUUGAAUAACGACGGUGUAGCUUGUAAAUAUACUCCGAAGCAGGGGUGACCGAAAUAUUCUACUUAAGUUAAAGUAGAAAUAACAAAGUGAAUAAUCUGCUACAAGUAAAACUCCUGAAUUCAAAAUGUUACUCAAGUAAAAGUACUGAAGUAUUAUAGUACUAAAAGUACUCAUUUAUGCAUAUUGGCCCAUUUCACAAUCAUAUAUAAUAUGCGUUGGUUCUAAUUAUUUAUGCAUUAAUGUGUUUAUCUAAAUUGGUAAAGGUGGAUUAUCUUUCAGCAAUUGUAAAUUUAAUCUCGGUAUAUCCAAAGUAUCUAUUAAGUGUUGAUCCUAUUGUAUAUGAUGUAUGUAUAUCUGUGAAGUAAUGUAGUAGGUAUUAUACGUGGUGGAGUAAAAGUACAAUAUUUACCUCAGAAUUGUAGUGGAGUAGAAGUACAAAGGAGCAUACAGUGGAAAUACUCAAUUAAAGUACAAGUACUUCAAAAUUGUUUUUAAUAACAGCAGUUAAGUUACUUAACACCACUGCUCGGAAGUUACAUAAAUAUUUAUUGGCGUUUGAAUCAUUUCAACUAAAACUCCUAGAAUUAGAUGUAGUACUCUGAACUGGCUGGUGACUUGCGUAGUCAUUUAGGAUGAUGCACUGCCCUAACGGUUGACAGCUUUUAUUGUACUAUUUUCCCACUAUUGACCUUUAAUCACCCUAAUUUAUUAGGUCCUCGGGCGUUGUCCACAACAGCUUGAUAUCCUUUUCCUGUUCUUACCAGGGAUGAGUUCACAGCUAAAAGUUAUGAGGGGGAAAAUCUCAUUUCUUUUGUAAAAUGACUAGGUGUUUGUCAAAGUUGAACCAACCACAUUACAGUUAUUUAAUUUAAUGCUCACUAAAAUGUUUUAUCAUUACAGUAUAAUCAUCUAAACAGUGUCUAUGACAAGUGAUUUGAGGUGUAUUUUCAUCGAAAAAGCUUGCUAUCUUUUCGGUAAAUACCAUUUCCUGCUCUCAGUGAGUCACCAUUAGUCAAUCAAAGCAACAUUUCCCCUGUGUUUUAGUUGUUGAAAUCAUGAUGAAAGUAAUUAGCAGUUUGAUUGGACCUUAACAUUUGUUUCUCUUCCCUUUUAAAAAAAAUCACAAUGACAAAACGUCUUAAGCUUACAAAUGGAAAAAAAUAGCUGAAAGAGGUAGUUUAUACUGUGUAGUCUGUGCAGAAAUAAAAGUAAACAAUAUGGUUACAGAAAUGUGCUAAAAUGCAGCAAUAAAUAUAUUUUCACACAACACCAAAUUUGUUUUUAAAAUAAUUCUGCUCAUAUUCAGAUCCAGCAGUACAAACAAAGAUUCUUAAAUUCACAUUGCUGAAUGUCAGCUUGAUCUCUUUACAUUAUAUGGCUUAUGAGAUGGGAGGUCAAGUAUUGCCUGCUGACUCCUAAGAAAGUGCUGCUUUACUGUUGGAGAAUUUGUACCCAAACUUCACAUAUUGUGAGAUGGAGAUUUUCUAUGACUAAUAUUUAAAGAAGCCCUAAUGAAAAGGCUUGUUUCAUAUACGUUUCAUGGUAACUGUGUCUGUUUAAAACCUUCACUGCACGAGGCACGAUUGAGACCACGUGCUGUCACAUCAUUUUUGCAUUUUGACUGUCAAAUUAGCAAUCAUAGCAAGUUAUUCUGCAGUGAAGAAGUUGAAGUGAACUUAAAUUAAAUAAAAACUUCCUUGUCUGCUUUUGCCGUACCUCUUUCCUUUUAUUGACCAGACAGAAAUAUAAUGAUUCUUUAGCUGCAUCAAGGUCCCAUGUGCACAAAUAAGAGAAACAGUAUAUAUGGGUGGUUGACGUGACGCUCAAUUUUUGUGUCCACAGUGACAAAAUAACUAAAAUUUUAUAAUAUUUAAUUAAAAUUCAUGUUUUUUAUAUGCAUUUCAUUCUUCUACAUCUAAUCCAUCUGCAAACAAUGAGUAUUGUUCUUCAACUAUGCAAAUAUUCUGCUUUGAACAUGCCAUUUGUCCACCGGUGCAACUGUCCACGGUAGAAUUACUUAUCUUAAAACGUCUGUAAUUUAAUGAGAAAUUAAUCUAAAUACAUUAAAAUACUUGAAUGCAUGUCAUACGAGUGUUUACUUAAUGAAUCUAGAGGUUAUAAGUGUUAAGGUCCCUAUGUAGAGUUAUUAUGACACAUUACAUUUUGUCCACAAAACUGGUGUCCUCCUGGAGCAACGGCAUUAUGUAGAUAUAAAACAGACAUUAAUGUGACCACCCCAUUACUGAGAGGGGUCCUUCCAGAACCAGGAAGUACAGAAGACAUCACUGGAGCACAUGGACUGUACACAAGAUAUCAGCAGAAGAAAGCAUGCGGGAAAAUCGUUCAGCAAAGCGUGAAGUCUGUGUCGCCAGCAACACAGAAGAAGCUACAAGAGAAAUGGAGAGAGUCAAAGCGGAGAUGUAGGGCAAGGGAAAAAGCCACUAAUGCUGUCCUUGAUCUUACGCCACAAUCACCUCAGGAUCAUGACCAGCCAUUUGAAGAGAUCAAUGACCCCCCAGUGGCAAGGCCAGUUAUCAAUGGAGCCUCAGUGGCAAGGCCGGUUCUGCAUGAAGUGAUCAAUGCUGUCCCAGUACCAGUACACGUUUUGUGUAGCACACCAGAGAAGUCCCCCCAAAAUCCACCCAAAAAAAGAAGAAAAACUAAAAUGACCAAAGAACUACGGAAACUACAAAAACAAAAUGAGAAAUUAAUGAAGGAACUUGAGGCUGAAAGAAGAAGAGUAAAUACAUUUAGGCGAAAGAAUCAACGCCUCGUGCAAAGACGGAAUAUGGAUAAACGUGCUAACAACAAAACACAAACAAAGCGAGGAAACACUGGAAUUCAAUUAAAAAUAUAUAUUUUACCUGUGUUUUGACUGAAUUUAAAAUAAUAAAUUUGACUGUACACAACAUAGGCAUACUAGUAUUCUGUUGUCCAACGGUACAACAAAAUGUCCUGCGGUGCGACAAAUUGAAUUGUGAGGGGAAAAGGUAUUUUAAUGAAAAAUGUAUGUAAAAAGUGUUGGAUAGUAUAACAAUGAUAUCAUCACUAUGCAGCUUUAAGGAUGAAAUGAAGAUUCCUUGAGUUUUAUACAAAUUAUAAUGAAUGUAACCCAGACAUUUGGGUUAAGUCUCUAUGUGUACAUCUUAUAGUAUAUAAAUAACAUAAUUCUGAAUUUGUUGGGGGUAUGUUUGAUGUGGAAAUAUAAUUGGGACAAACUAAUAUGCCUUGUGCUUAUCUAUCUUACCUGUCCAACAUUCUCUGAAUUAAAUAAUGGCAUUCUUUA